CCAACACGUGCAAUGUUAAAUUUUUUAUUUUACUGUCAAAAGGCUUUCCAGUCUGCUAGAAGAGAGAGGCAAAGCAAAAACUGAAAUAGAUCUUAUCUCAAUAGGUUUCUCUCAGUCAUUUUAGUCAUUUUUUCAUAUUGAGCUUACUAUUAUCCCGAGUUGAGAAAGCUCUGGAGGAGGUUGCGAGGGUUUCUGCAACUGUUGCGUUAUGGGUAAGGGAACAGGAAGCUUUGGUAAGAGGAGGAACAAGACCCACACACUACGAGUGAGGUGUGGAAGACGGAGCUUCCAUCUCCAGAAGAGCCGUUGCUCUGCUUGUGCUUACCGUCCUGCCCAUAAAAGGGAUACAAUUGGAGUUUGAAAGCUAUUCGCAGAAAAAGACAACUACAACUGGCCACAUGAGGUAUCUUUAGAAUGUCCCCCGCAGGUUCUUGGCCAAUUUCAGAGAAGGUACUGAAGCACCUCCUAGGAAAAAGGGAGUAGCUUCUUCUUGAGGCCUUUGAGACAGUUACUUGAGAGGCUAUUACUGGUAGCUUCAUUCUACCUUAGGUUUUGUUGCCCUUUAAAAGAUUUAUGUGCUUAAAAUUUUCGAAGUCCGUAUUUCAACUUGGCAUUUUUAUGAAGAAGGAUCUUAUGACUGCGAUAACUUAUUGGAAAAAACAAGCUUACCAUUAUUUCAUAUUGAGAUUACACAAGUCUUUUGAGAUCUAUUUGGAAGGCCCACGUGUUCAUCAUUAUGCUUCUUUGAAUUGAAUUAUAAUAGAUGGUGUGCAAUUGCUCCAUAGGUUGGUGACCUAAAAAAGAUUGGCGCAAAAUUUCCCGUCGAGUAUGUUAUGUUAAUAUUAUAAUAUUUUAGUUGGUUUGUAAGUGACAGUUUAAUUGGAAA